UCCUACGGGGGGCAGCAGUGGGGAAUAUUGCACAAUGGGGGAAACCCUGAUGCAGCAACGCCGCGUGAAGGAAGACGGUUUUCGGAUUGUAAACUUCUGUUCUUAGUGAAGAAGAAUGACGGUAGCUAAGGAGCAAGCCACGGCUAACUACGUGCCAGCAGCCGCGGUAAUACGUAGGUGGCAAGCGUUGUCCGGAAUUACUGGGUGUAAAGGGAGUGUAGACGGCGGUGCAAGCCAGAUGUGAAAGCCCGGGGCUCAACCCCGGGACUGCAUUUGGAACUGUGCUGCUAGAGUGUCGGAGAGGC
rnacentral:rRNA from 1 species